UGGGGGUGGUGAUCACUCCACCCGAAGGAUGAAAAUGCAGGAGUGCAGAAUCUUGUAUAGGUAUCUCUUGCCAAAGAAACCGUACCUUGGAGGAGUGGAUGAGGAAGAUGGCUUAUCAGAAACCUAAGUAUGCAACAAAAACGAAAAAAAGGAAGGAGAAAGAUUUUACUCAGAAAGUACAUCCAGCUAUUUCUCAGACAUUGAAAUACAACCACUUUAGGGAUGGAGCCUGGCAGCUACUUGAUACCAAACAAACAAUGCUCCCAAGAGCCAAGAGGAAGAAGU